AAAACGACUCUCGGCAACGGAUAUCUCGGCUCUUGCAUCGAUGAAGAACGUAGCGAAAUGCGAUACUUGGUGUGAAUUGCAGAAUCCCGUGAACCAUCGAGUCUUUGAACGCAAGUUGCGCCCAAAGCCAUUAGGCCGAGGGCACGCCUGCCUGGGUGUCACAC
rnacentral:rRNA from 4 species